rnacentral:rRNA from 1 species
UAGUACGAGAGGACCGGGAUGGACGCACCGCUGGUGUACCAGUUGUUCUGCCAAGGGCAUCGCUGGGUAGCUAUGUGCGGACGGGAUAAGUGCUGAAAGCAUCUAAGCAUGAAGCCCCCCUCAAGAUGAGAUUUCCCAUUCCGCAAGGAAGUAAGAUCCCUGAAAGAUGAUCAGGUUGAUAGGUCUGAGGUGGAAGUGUGGCGACACAUGGAGCUGACAGAUACUAAUCGAUCGAGGACUUAACCCACA